rnacentral:lncRNA from 1 species
AUCUUUACAUUCUACAAAUAUUUCUACCUUCUGAAUUACUUAAAGCUAUUUAAGUGAUCAGAAGUCACAGUGGUUUCCAAGUAAAUUUCAAAAUCCACAGAAAUGAAAACAAAUCGUACAAGAAUAUUCAUAGCUGCACUCUUUGUGGUGUCCAAAAAUUGGAAAAUGAGGGGAUGCCCAUCAAUUGGGGAAUGGCUGAACAAAUUGUGGUAUAUGUUGGGGAUGCCCAUCAAUUGGGGAAUGGCUGAACAAACUGUGGUAUAUGUUGGUGAUGGAAUACUAUUGUGCUCAAAGGAAUAAUAAAGUGGAGAAGUUCCAUGGAGACUGGAACAACCUCCAGGAAGUGAUGCAGAGCGAGAGGAGCAGAACCAGGAGAACAUUGUACACAGAGACUAAUACACUGUGGUAUAAUCGAACGUAAUGGACUUCUCCAUUAGGGGCGGUGUAAUGUCCCUGAACAACUUUCAGGGAUCCAGGAGAAAAAAAACACCAUUCAUAAGCAAAGGAUAAACUAUGGGAGUGGAAACACCGCAGAAAAAGCAACUGCCUGAAUACAGAGGUUGAGGGGACAUGACAGAGGAUAGACUUUAAAUGAACACUCUAAUGCAAAUACUAUCAACAAAGCAAUGGGUUCAAAUCAAGAAAACAUCUAAUGCCCAGUGGACUUACGCGUCGGCUAUGGGGGGUGGGGGGGAGGAAAAGAAAAUGAUCUAUGUCUUUAACGAAUAAUGCUUGGAAAUGAUCAAAUAAAAUAUAUUUAAAAUAAAAAAAAAUGGGAACG